rnacentral:tRNA from 1 species
AGGUAUAUAGCUCAGUUGGUAGAGUGCUUGCCUUGCAUGCACAAGGCCCUGGGUUCAAUUCCAGCAAACCCU